CAUAUUUCCCUCCACAAGAGUAUUCUCAAGCCCCUCCGCCACCCCCGAUACUCGUUAUCAUCACCCGGCUCCUGCCGAUGGGUUUGAGGAGGACCGCCCAGCUGCAAGGAUAAAUCGUUCUACCCUACCCAUGUCCCAGGCCGGCCCACACUCUACGUCUGCACGCCGCUAUGCUGGCCCUGACCAAUCCCAUCCUGAUUUGUUGCAAUAGGUAUCUGGCAAGCCUGUGUCUGACACCCGUGUUCUGGCACUGUCUACAGGGGAUGGGGGAGGGCCUUUAGCUACUGUAGUAUUGCCCAUAGAGGGUCACCCCACUACUUUCCUAGUUGACACAGGUGCAGCCCAUAGUGUUCUCAGAGAACAAGACCUGCCUGACCCGUCCUUCCUGUCAGACACCGAUGUAUCUUGUGUUGGUGCUGAUGGUACCUCCCGCAGUAGCCCUCUCACCAAACUACUUCACGUGGGGUCCGAUAUCCUUUCCCGGUUUGUAGUUUCUUCCACGUGUCCAAUUAACCUGUUAGGGGCUGAUGUCCUGUCCCGUCUCCAAGCAUCCAUUACAUUUACCGCAGACGGUCAGGUUCAGUUAGCUACGCCCCGUCACGUAAAGACACCUCUGUACUUUGCUCCCUUCCCAUACUAUUGCAUCUUGCAUCUCCUGUAGGGGAAGAAAGGGUCCCACACGCCCCCAGUGCCCUCGACAGAAUACCUACAACUCUUUG